rnacentral:rRNA from 1 species
UAGGGAAUAUUGCACAAUGGGGGAAACCCUGAUGCAGCGACGCCGCGUGAGUGAUGAAGGCCUUCGGGUCGUAAAGCUCUGUCGUAUGGGACUAACAAAAUGAAGGUACCAUGCAAGAAAGGUCCGGCUAACUACGUGCCAGCAGCCGCGGUAAUACGUAGGGACCAAGCGUUGUUCGGAUUUACUGGGCGUAAAGGGCGCGUAGGCGGCAAUUCAAGUCAUCUGUGAAAUCUCCGGGUUUAACUCGGAACGGUCAGAUGAUACUGCUUUGCUAGAGUGCAGAAGGGGCAAUCGGAAUUCUUGGUGUAGCGGUGAAAUGCGUAGAUAUCAAGAGGAACACCUGAGGUGAAGACGGGUUGCUGGGCUGACACUGACGCUGAGGCGCGAAAGCCAGGGGAGCAAACGGGAUUAGAUACCCCAGUAGUCCCUGAGCGGGCUGGCAAGGCGCAU